rnacentral:tRNA from 1 species
GCCUGGAUGGCUCAGUUGGUUAAGCGACUGACUUCGGCUCAGGUGAUGAUCUCACAGUUCGUGGGUUUGAGCCCCUUGUCGGGCA